GACAGAGGUCCCAAGCGUUAGGCGGAAUCACUGGGCUUAAAGCGUGUGUAGGCGGACUUCUAAGUACCUUGUGAAAUCCCACGACUCAACCGUGGAACUGCUUGGUAUACUGGUUGUCUUGGGCCAUCUAGGGGCUAGCGAAACAAACGGUGGAGCGGUGAAAUGCGUAGAUAUCGUUUGGAACGCCAAUGGUGAAAACAGCUAGCUGGGGAUGUGCCGACGCUGAGACACGAAAGCCAGGGGAGCGAACGGG
rnacentral:rRNA from 1 species